GUCCGCGGCGGUGGCGUCCAGAGCCCGCAGCCGCAUAGAGCCGGAGCCGAACGGGUGGCGGCGCCAUGGCGUGCGCGGGGCUGCUCACUGUGUGCCUGAUCCGGCCGCCUGCGCCGGAGCCCCCGCGACCCCCCGCGCCCGCGCCGGCAGCCGGAUCCGCAGGACACGCGCUCUUCCAAGACGUUUUCCGCAGAGCAGACAAGAAUGAUGAUGGUAAGCUCUCAUUUGAAGAAUUCCAGAAUUACUUUGCCGAUGGGGUUCUCAGCCCCGGGGAGCUGCGAGAGCUGUUCAGCAGUAUUGAUGGGCAUCCCGCUGACAAUUUGGAAACGGAGAAACUGUGUGACUACUUCUCUGAACACCUGGGCGUCUAUCGGCCUGUGCUGGCUGCACUGGAGUCGCUGAACUGUGCAGUGCUCACUGCCAUGGACACCACCAAGCUGGAGUAUGAGCGGGCCUCCAAGGUGGACCAGUUUGUGACACGCUUCCUAUUGCGGGAGACGGUGAGCCAGCUCCAAGCCCUGCAGAGCUCGCUGGAGGGGGCGUCAGAUACCCUGGAGGCCCAGGCCCACGGCCCACGGUCAGAUGAAGAGAGGGUGGAGGUGCAGAGCAGGCCCCGAGGCAGCCGGCGGGCGGGGCGCAGGGCCCUGCGGAGUGUCAGUCGGUCACCCACCUGGUCUCCUGGCUCCUCUGACACAGGGCAGAGCUCAGAGGCUGAGAUGCACUGGCGGCUCCAGAUCAACCGUCUCCAGGAGCUCAUCGACCAGCUGGAAUGCAAGGCCCCCCGGCUGGAACCCCUGCACGAAGAGGAGUUUACCAAGGGGCCCAACUCGCACAUCCUCGUGGCCCAAAGGCAGGUGCAGGUGGCAGAGGAAGCCCUGCAGGACUUCCACCAUGCCCUGUGCUGCUACGUGGACUUCACAGGGGCCCAGAGCCAUUGCCUGCAAGGAGAAAACUGAGGCUCAGAGCCACUACGAGGAAGGACUCAGAUCUGAAACCAGGCAGCAGGACUGGGUGGGAAUGGGGAGCUUUUAACCAUGUGGUCCUGAUCCUUGGGGACCAGCUCCAGCCUUGGUCCACCUGCGGCCCUCCCCAGGCACCAGCAGUCCGCCUGCAGUAAGGCCUUCCAGCGCAUCCUCAUUGACCACCUGCAGGCUCCAGACACCCUCACCACUGUGUUCUUCCCAGCAUCCUGGUGGAUUAUGAAUAAUAACUGAGCCUGACCUGCAUAAGCCAAGGACCCUGGAGCCCUGCCUGCCUCCUUCUGGAGCUUCUGGACUGGUCAGCUCAGCUCAAGACCAAGGACGCUGCCACCUCCUAUACCUGGGGCCUGGCUCUCAGCGGCCUCCCCUCCCAGAGCCAGCUGGCGGAGAAUCUCUCAGCCCGGGGAUCAGAGACUGGGCUGCUUGCUGUGUAUUUCUUUCUUUAACAGUGUAUUUUAUUGCUCAUAGCUUUGGCCUCUGAGGCACUCUGGCAUCUGUCUAGCUCAGGAGCCUGGAUUCUGGUCCCCUCUGCCCCUGCCUUGCUGUGUGACCCAGGGCAGGUCCCUUCCCUCUCUGAGUGGGCCUUGGGCUGUCUGGCUACCUAGUGGGUGCCUGCUUUCUUCUUGCUAUCUCGGGGCCAGGCUUCUGCUCUUCCCCAACCAGCAGCAGAACCAGGGCUGAUGCUCAGGGACUGUCCAUACCCCCGAACCUCGACCCCCGAGGCUGGGCUGGAUCAGUCUGCAGUCUGCAAGGACCUGGGUGUCCCCAUCACCCUCCUGGGCUGGCAGGCUCCUGACUCUUUCAGCACCUGCGGCUGCACCAGAGCCCUCUGCAGGAUCCUGGGUUGGUUUGCAUGUCAUUUGCAUAUCAUUUGCAUGCUCAUGCCCACCCAUACUAAGGGCACUAUGGGAAGCCCCAAGGUGACCUUGCUAAGUAGCAAUAAUUUGGCUCCAGAGUCACCUGCUGCCCCCAGAUACCUCUGAACCCCAGCCCAGGACCCCAGCCCAGAGGCAAUAAAGGCAGUAGUCACCUCUG